rnacentral:tRNA from 1 species
GCCUGAGUGGCGAAAUUAGUAGACGAGCUAGGUUCAGAGUCUAGUAUCUUUCGAGAUGCACAGGUUCGAAUCCAGUCUCGGGCG